rnacentral:rRNA from 1 species
CGGGAGGCAGCAGUAGGGAAUAUUGCACAAUGGGGGAAACCCUGAUGCAGCGACGCCGCGUGAGGGAUGACGGCCUUCGGGUUGUAAACCUCUUUCAGUAGGGAAGAAGCCUUCGGGUGACGGUACCUGCAGAAGAAGUACCGGCUAACUACGUGCCAGCAGCCGCGGUAAUACGUAGGGUACAAGCGUUGUCCGGAAUUAUUGGGCGUAAAGAGCUCGUAGGCGGUUCGUCGCGUCUGCUGUGGAAACGCAAGGCUCAACCUUGCGCGUGCAGUGGGUACGGGCGGACUAGAGUGCAGUAGGGGAGUCUGGAAUUCCUGGUGUAGCGGUGAAAUGCGCAGAUAUCAGGAGGAACACCGGUGGCGAAGGCGGGACUCUGGGCUGUAACUGACGCUGAGGAGCGAAAGCAUGGGGAGCGAACAGGAUUAGAUACCCUGGUAGUCCAUGCCGUAAACGUUGGGCACUAGGUGUGGGGCUCAUUCCACGAGUUCCGCGCCGCAGCUAACGCAUUAAGCACUCCGCCUGGGGAG